rnacentral:rRNA from 1 species
UACGGAGGGUGCAAGCGUUUAUCCGGAUUCACUGGGUUUAAAGGGUGGCGUAGGCGGGCAGGUAAGUCAGUGGUGAAAUCUCCGAGCUUAACUCGGAAACUGCCGUUGAUACUAUUUGUCUUGAAUAUUGUGGAGGUAAGCGGAAUAUUGUCUGUAGCGGUGAAAUGCUUAGAUAUACAUAGAACACCAAAUUGCGAAGGCAGCUUACUCACAACGUUACUGAGGCACGAA